rfam:Camelus ferus unplaced genomic scaffold scaffold32405, whole genome shotgun sequence.
GAGGGGAUAGCUCAGUGGUAGAGCGUGUGUUUAGCAGGCACAAAGUCCUAGGUUCAAUCCCUUGUGCCUCCA